rnacentral:rRNA from 1 species
ACACACCGCCCGUCAAGCCAUGAAAGCCGGGGGUACCUGAAGUGCGUAACCGCGAGGAGCGCCCUAGGGUAAAACUGGUGAUUGGGGCUAAGUCGUAACAAGGUACC